GAUGAAGAACGUAGUGAAAUGCGAUACGUAAUGUGAAUUGCAAAUUCAGUGAAUCUUCGAGUCUUUGAACGCACAUUGCGCCCCCUGGUAUUCCGGGGGGCAUGCCUGUCCGAGCGUCAUUGCUGCCCUCAAGCACGGCUUGUGUGUUGGGCCCCGUCCUCCGAUCCCGGGGGACGGGCCCGAAAGGCAGCGGCGGCACCGCGUCCGGUCCUCGAGCGUAUGGGGCUUUGUCACCCGCUCUGUAGGCCCGGCCGGCGCUUGCCGAUCAACCCAAAUUUUUAUCCAGGUUGACCUCGGAUCAGGUAGGGAUACCCGCUGAACUUAAGCAUAUCAAUAAGCGGAGGA
rnacentral:misc_RNA from 1 species